AGUGAACGCUGGCGGUAGGCCUAACACAUGCAAGUCGAACGGCAGCACAGUAAGAGCUUGCUCUUACGGGUGGCGAGUGGCGGACGGGUGAGGAAUACAUCGGAAUCUACUUUUUCGUGGGGGAUAACGUAGGGAAACUUACGCUAAUACCGCAUACGACCUACGGGUGAAAGCAGGGGAUCUUCUGACCUUGCGCGAUUGAAUGAGCCGAUGUCGGAUUAGCUAGUUGGCGGGGUAAAGGCCCACCAAGGCGACGAUCCGUAGCUGGUCUGAGAGGAUGAUCGGCCACACUGGAACGGAGACACGGUCCAGACGCCUAAGGGAGGCAGCAGUGGGGAAUAUUGGACAAUGGGCGCAAGCCUGAUCCAGCCAUACCGCGUGGGUGAAGAAGGCCUUCGGGUUGUAAAGCCCUUUUGUUGGGAAAGAAAAGCAGCAGGUUAAUACCCCGCUGUUCUGACGGUACCCAAAGAAUAAGCACCGGCUAACUUCGUG
rnacentral:rRNA from 1 species